GAUGAACGCUGGCGGCGUGCCUAAUACAUGCAAGUCGAGCGAACAGACGAGGAGCUUGCUCCUCUGACGUUAGCGGCGGACGGGUGAGUAACACGUGGAUAACCUACCUAUAAGACUGGGAUAACUUCGGGAAACCGGAGCUAAUACCGGAUAAUAUAUUGAACCGCAUGGUUCAAUAGUGAAAGACGGUUUUGCUGUCACUUAUAGAUGGAUCCGCGCGGCAUUAGCUAGUUGGUAAGGUAACGGCUUACCAAGGCAACGAUGCGUAGCCGACCUGAGAGGGUGAUCGGCCACACUGGAACUGAGACACGGUCCAGACUCCUACGGGAGGCAGCAGUAGGGAAUCUUCCGCAAUGGGCGAAAGCCUGACGGAGCAACGCCGCGUGAGUGAUGAAGGUCUUCGGAUCGUAAAACUCUGUUAUUAGGGAAGAACAAAUGUGUAAGUAACUAUGCACGUCUUGACGGUACCUAAUCAGAAAGCCACGGCUAACUACGUG
rnacentral:rRNA from 1 species